CCGCUCUCCGGGGUGAGGUCCAGCCAGGUAACUGCAGCCGGAGCCUCUCUGAGCGCGGCGGGAUCUGCCCUGUGCCCCCAUCCUCGUGCUGACGGUGGAAAUCCACCAAGGCCCCGUGCAGAGUCCUGCACCUCAGACUGCGAAAUGGCAAAAGCCGAAUUUAAAAUGGAUGGUUAUAUUCACUCCAUGAGGCAAAGAAAAUUCUGAGGCAGACACUUGACUGGCCAAGAGCCAGAGAGAAAGCUGGCUGGGAACUGAGAGGCAUCAGGCGACCUCAGCCCCAACAUUUCCAUGUAAACGAUGAUACAAGAUGAGCUGGUGGCAGGAGUCCCUGGAAAUUCUCACAAUCUCAGCUUCUAACUUCCAUAAAGUAUUAUGUCAUUUAUGAUCUCUUUAAUAAAUCAUUUUUUUUCUAAUUAUAAAAGUGUAUAUUCUCCUUGGAGGGUGUUUGGUAAAUAUAAAAUGAGUUAUAAAUGAAAGAAAAAUUAUUCAUAA